rnacentral:rRNA from 1 species
AUGCAAGUCGGACGGGAUUUUCCGUUGUAGCAAUACGAUGGAAAGUCUAGUGGCGAACGGGUGCUUAACACGUGGGCAACCUGCCAGGAAGUGGGGGAUAGCUCGCCGAAAGGCGAAUUAAUACCGCAUGUGAUUAGAGAGGACAUCCUUUCGAAAUUAAAGUCGGGGCAACCUGACGCUUCUUGUGGGGCCCGCGGCCUAUCAGCUAGUUGGUGAGGUAAUGGCUCACCAAGGCUUUGACGGGUAGCUGGUCUGAGAGGACGACCAGCCACACUGGGACUGAGACACGGCCCAGACACCUACGGGUGGCAGCAGUCGAGAAUUUUUGACAAUGGGGGAAACCCUGAUCGAGCGACGCCGCGUGGAGGAUGAAGGUCUUCGGAUUGUAAACUCCUGUCAUUGGGGAACAAGGUGCAUACGUUAACUGCGUGUGCAUUGAUAGUACCCGAAGAGGAAGAGACGGCUAACUCUGUGCCAGCAGCCGCGGUAAUACAGAGGUCUCAAGCGUUGUUCGGAUUCAUUGGGCGUAAAGGGUGCGUAGGCGGCGCGGUAAGUCGGGUGUGAA